CGGGUGAGUAACGCGUGGGUAACCUGCCUCAUACAGGGGGAUAACGAUUGGAAACGAUUGCUAAUACCGCAUAAGCGCACAGUACCACAUGGUGCAGUGUGAAAAACUCCGGUGGUAUGAGAUGGACCCGCGUCUGAUUAGCUAGUUGGUGAGGUAACGGCCCACCAAGGCAACGAUCAGUAGCCGACCUGAGAGGGUGACCGGCCACAUUGGGACUGAGACACGGCCCAG
rnacentral:rRNA from 1 species